rnacentral:rRNA from 1 species
UCCGUAGACUGUAGAAUCAGUUCCUAGUUAAAGAUCAAAGCUUAACUUUGAAAUAGCUUCGAAUACUGUUCUACUUGAGUUUUAUACAGAAGACUAGAAUUCUAUACGGAAGGGUAAAAUCUGUAGAUAUAUAGAGGAAUAUCAGUAGCGAAGGCGAGUCUUUAAGUAAAAACUGACGUUGAGGGACGAAAGUAUGGGUAGCAAACA